rnacentral:rRNA from 1 species
UACGUAGGGGUCAAGCGUUGUCCGGAUUUAUUGGGCGUAAAGAGCUCGUAGGUGGUUCGGUAAGUCGGAUGUGAAAUCUCCAGGCUCAACCUGGAGGGGUCAUUCGAUACUGCCGUGACUAGAGUUCGGUAGGGGAGUGUGGAAUUCCUGGUGGAGCGGUGAAAUGCGCAGAUAUCAGGAGGAACACCCGUAGCGAAGGCGGCACUCUGGGCCGAUACUGACACUGAGGAGCGAAAGCGUGGGGAGCGAACAGG